rnacentral:rRNA from 1 species
AUUGAACGCUGGCGGCAGGCCUAACACAUGCAAGUCGAACGAGGGGCGGACGGGUGAGUAAUGUCUGGGAAACUGCGCGAUGGAGGGGGAUAACUACCGGAAACGGUAGCUAAUACCGCAUACCAUCGGAUGUGCCCAGAUGGGAUUAGCUAGUAGGUGGGGUAACGGACCACCUAGGCGACGAUCCCUACCUGGUCUGAGAGGAUGACCAUCCACACUGGAACUGAGAUGCGGUCCAGACUCCUACGGGAGGCAGCAGUGGGGAAUAUUGCACAAUGGGCGCAAGCCUGAUGCAGCCAUGCCGCGUGUAUGAAGAAGGCCUUCGGGUUGUAAAGUACUUUCAGCGAGGAGGCGUUACUCGCAGAAGAAGCACCGGCUAACUCCGUGCCAGCAGCCGCGGUAAUAC